UAAAAUGAAACCAAAACAGCGGUGUGUCAUUGUUAAUGAUAAUUAGAAUUUAAACAUUUCCAUUUUAA
rnacentral:tRNA from 1 species